rnacentral:tRNA from 3 species
GGCCCCGUAGUACAAUGGAUAGUACAUGAGUCUCCGGAACUCAGGAUCCGCGUUCGAUUCGCGGCGGGGUCA